rnacentral:rRNA from 1 species
CGGCGGGCCUGUUCCGUCGCCCCGUUCCCCYUCCCCCACGAACAAAACCCCGGCGCACGAUGCGCCAAGGAAUCGCAACGAGAAAAGGAACGAGCACCCGUUGCGCGCCGGGAACGGAAUGCGCACGGGCGGCCUCGUAUUCUUUGAAAACAAAAMGACUCUCGGCAACGGAUAUCUCGGCUCUCGCAUCGAUGAAGAACGUAGCGAAAUGCGAUACUUGGUGUGAAUUGCAGAAUCCCGUGAACCAUCGAGUCUUUGAACGCAAGUUGCGCCCGAAGCCUUCGGGCCGAGGGCACGUCUGCCUGGGUGUCAUGCACCGUCGCCCCCCAUCCCCACUCCCCCGAGGGGAGUCGGGAAGCCCGGGGCGGACAAUGGCCUCCCGUGCGCUCUCGCUCGCGGUUGGCCUAAAUCCGAGUUGUUGGCGGCGAGCGCCACGGCAAGCGGUGGUUGGAAAGACCCUCUGAAGUGCCG